CUGGUGUUCUAAAAUAGAAGGCCAAGAGAAGCCCAGGUGUGACUUUGGCAGUUUACAGUGCCUUUGGUCCCAAACGGCUUUACCAGGGAGCCGUCAGUAUCGUAUACAUUUUGCAGGUGACAAAACCAGACAUGAAGGUGAAGUUCUUCUCGCAAACGAUACAACUGGGACCCCUAUGUCUUGUUUCUCUCCCCAGGGAAUCAUCCCUGGGUUGUGAGAGUGCACAGAGGUGCAGCCCUCGGGGAGGAACCCUCAGGUACCUUGAAAAGGAAUCUGCGAGGGGAGGACACUUGCUCCUGUGUGCUGUCAUUUUACCCCAAGACUGGACCCUUUAUGGUGAAGACCCAAACCUGAGCUUUGUUUCUCUGACACAGUUUAGACAAGGGAUGGGUCAGAGAGGCCCCUGCCAAGGAUUCCUGGCAGAGAUAGACAAGAUAGGGCUUGGGCCUACGCAUCUCCAGGGAGCCUAACUCUGAGGGUGAGGGCGUUCCUACCGGCUGCAGAGACAGUGCGGGCACAAGAGGGGCCCUUCCACACACCUGGCGGGACACCCAGGGCCCAAAGGCCUUCAUAAGUAGCUCUUGGUGAAUGGCAGGGACGAGGAGAGGGAGGCAUACGGCCAUGUGUAAUUCAGCUGCCGCUUGCACUGUGGACACGAACCGCCGAGCUCCUGAGCUAGAAGGAGCCUUAGGAAUUGAGUCACCUUGUCGCCUUACUUUACCUGCCAGGAAACUGGGACCGGAAGAGGGGAGCAAGCUGCCCAGGGCCCCGGCUAGGGCAACAGGACUCCGUGGUGCAGCCACGGGCCCCCACAGCACUCGGCUCGAUGUCCUCAGAGCAGCUGUGUGAUCCAGUCCCAGCUCCCGAGAAAGCGGCUGCUGACUGGCGGUGUGUGCCCGGGAAGCGCUAUAAUUAGUCGGCUUGUUGAGGCUUACUGUUCUAGAGCAAGACUGUCAGCCCCGGGACAUGGAGAACGGCCAUUUCCUUCACAACCCACGGAGGGGACUGUGGGUCACGUGGCUGAGCUGUGACCCUCCCAUCCAAGCGCGCACCUUCCCAGCUGUGUCCGGUGUGGCUGUGACCAGACCCUGCUGACCGUGAGUCAUAAACAAAAGUCGUGGCGUGUUCCCUUUACCGGCUUUGCCUCCACACAAGAUAAAGGGUGGGAAACCACCGUGGCCUGCCGCGAGAGUCGGAGCUGACAGCCCAACCUGUCCAGGGCUGGGCAGUGAGAUCGUCCUGAGGUGGCCCGGGUCACUGCACUCGGUGCAGGUCGGGGGCCUGGGGCGGACCUGGCUUUGUCCCUCCCGGCAGUGUGACCUAGGACAUGCUGCCCGGCCCCUCGGCUCCCUCUCCUCUUGUUGUUGGAAGGAUUUCCGUACAUGGCGCCCCUGAAGCCCUGGCUGUGCCUGCCGUGCAGCAAGUUCACAGGAAAUACAGACCAAACCCCUUGCUGGACCCGCUGGCACCAGAGAAAUAGGAGCGGGGAUAGGAGCGGGGACAGGAGCGGGGACGGCUUCUUCCCGCCCACCUCCCUGCUGCAGCCCAGACCCCGGCUCUGGACCCCUCCCUGAGAGCUGGCUCCGGUUUUGCCUGUGUCCCUCAUGAGCGGCGCAGGAAGUGGGUGGGGACGGGCUUCUCACACCCACCGGCCCCCUGUGGGUCUCACUGCUUGUUUUCUUCACCAUGGGGGCUCCUCACGCCCUCUAAUGACUGUUUUCCUUCCACAGAGGCUGUAUUUUUAGACAAAGCAUUUCCUGAUUCCCUGACAGGUCCCUCUGCCUCUCUCUGGGGACAGGAAGCCCACUCCAGAAGAAGGAACAGAGGAAAUACAGGGACCCGGGCCCUGCCACCUUCCCUGCUCUGAUCCCCCGACCUGGGGGAACCCUGGGGCGCGUGACUUCCUUCUGACUGCGGUGCUGCCAGCUCCCCUCUGCCAUUGCUGGCGGGCAGGUGGCGGCCGUGGGACAGAGUUACCACAGACCCGUCCUUUCCCCCAUCACGCCCGGCUUGGGACCGCCUCCUCCGCCUCGCUGGUGUCUCCACUGACCCGUGCAUGGCUCACAUGUCCCAGGCCCCACUCCUUUAAUUGCAAAAUGGAGACGAGUGCUUUGUGACCCUCACGCUUGGUGUAAAGGUGAUAUGAAAACCAGCAUGCAAGGAAAACGCAGAGCUCUGUGCCUGACACUCAGCUGCUCUUAUUAUUUCUAAUUUAAAUAAUGAUGAUGAUUUAAUUAUAUUUUAAAUUUAUAACUUUAAGAGUUCCGUAAUUUGUCAUUUAAUUAUAGUUAUUUAUGGAUGUGCGCUCCCUCUUCCGCAUGUCAUGAGCCCCUCGAGUGAAGGGCUUGGGUCUCUUUUUCAUCUGCAGAUACAAAGGGCAGAGCAGGUUCUCAGCAGAUGCUGGAAAGGCCGAGUGUGCUGCCUGACGUCUCUGAGGCCCAAGUGUGCGAUUACACUCCGCACGUUUGGAAAGGUCGCAGCUGGGACAGGGCGGCUUGGCGGGGCAUGCGGAAAGCAGCGAGAGGACUCUGCCCUGGCGGUGCUUCCGUGGGACCAGGAGGCGUUCAGAUGAGGGACUGUGGCUGGACCCCUGGGGACUGCUGUGACUUCCCUUUCUCAGUCUCUGCACAGUGAAGGCUGAACGGCCACACAUUUCUGUUUGGCUGAACGGUUCCUUCAGCUGAGUCACACUUUUGGAGCACUGACUCUAGGAUACAUCUCCAUUUUCUGUCCCCUCCAUCACUAGGAUGUGUGUGGCACUCAGACUGCCCCUGCCUACGCCCAAGGCCAUGACAGACAUGACUAAUGGAUAGCAGCAUCCGAUCAUUGUACAGUUUGUCUCUGCGCGGCAGCCAUUCCUGAGAGGACAGAGUCCUAGUUGGGCUGACAACUGCUCAUCAUCUUUAGCUUAGACCUUAGAUCGCUGGGUUGGUCCAAGGCUUCCCUGAAUCUCAAAAGCUUGUAAUCCGCCCCCCGCCCAAUCCUACUGUGCCUCGUUGUGGAAGUUAUUUCCCACCAACUGCUGAAAAGAUUGGCACGUUGUUAGAUGUUAGGUGUAAGGAGUUAAGCGUGAAGCGUGAGGAAGAUAAAAAGUAGAAAGGACCCAUCUCCACCUGCACCUCUCACAUCGGAGGGAAGGGUUUAGAAGGAGCUCACGCUGCAGGUUCAGGUAGCAGGGUCACACGUGAUUCUUUCUGCACUUUUGCUUUUACAGAUUCUUUUUUUAAAGAGAAAAAAAGAUACAACUUGUGAGGAGGUAAUAAGCUAUUUUUGACAACCCU